GACGAACGCUGGCGGCGUGCUUAACACAUGCAAGUCGAACGCUGAAGCUUGGUGCUUGCUCUGGGUGGAUGAGUGGCGAACGGGUGAGUAAUACGUGAGUAACCUGCCCUUGACUCUGGGAUAAGCCUGGGAAACUGGGUCUAAUACUGGAUACGACGUGUCACCGCAUGGUGGUGUGUGGAAAGGGUUUUACUGGUUUUGGAUGGGCUCACGGCCUAUCAGCUUGUUGGUGGGGUAAUGGCUCACCAAGGCGACGACGGGUAGCCGGCCUGAGAGGGUGACCGGCCACACUGGGACUGAGACACGGCCCAGACUCCUACGGGAGGCAGCAGUGGGGAAUAUUGCACAAUGGGCGGAAGCCUGAUGCAGCGACGCCGCGUGAGGGAUGACGGCCUUCGGGUUGUAAACCUCUUUCAGCACGGAAGAAGCGAAAGUGACGGUACGUGCAGAAGAAGCGCCGGCUAACUACGUG
rnacentral:rRNA from 1 species